rnacentral:rRNA from 1 species
GACUACAUGAAGCUGGAAUCGCUAGUAAUCGCGAAUCAGCAUGUCGCGGUGAAUACGUUCCCGGGUCUUGUACACACCGCCCGUCACACCAUGGGAGUCAGUAACGCCCGAAGCCGGUGACCCAACCAAGAAUGGAGGGAGCCGUCGAAGGUGGGACCGAUAACUGGGGUGAAGUCGUAACAAGGUAAC